rnacentral:rRNA from 1 species
UUUCCAGACUCCUACGGGAGGCAGCAGUGGGGAAUAUUGCACAAUGGGGGGAAACCCUGAUGCAGCGACGCCGCGUGAGCGGAGAAGUAUUUCGGUAUGUAAAGCUCUAUCAGCAGGGAAGAAAUUGACGGUACCUGAGUAAGAAGCUCCGGCUAAAUACGUGCCAGCAGCCGCGGUAAUACGUAUGGAGCAAGCGUUAUCCGGAUUUACUGGGUGUAAAGGGAGCGUAGGCGGCCUGCCAAGUCUGAUGUGAAAUACCGGGGCUCAACCCCGGGGCUGCAUUGGAAACUGGCAGGCUGGAGUGUCGGAGAGGCAGGCGGAAUUCCUAGUGUAGCGGUGAAAUGCGUAGAUAUUAGGAGGAACACCAGUGGCGAAGGCGGUCUGCUGGACAGCAACUGACGCUGAGGCGCGAAAGCGUGGGGAGCAAACAGGAUUAGAUACCCGUGUA